ACCAUUCCUUUGGCUGCUGCAGUGCUUUUCAGAAGCCCACGUCCAACCCCACGUGAGUAGCCUGAAGUCGUGGAUGUUCUACAUGACGGCCUCCAAUAGACCAACACAUUUUCUGUUCAGCCAUUAGUGCAGGAGAGGAGGUGUCCCUGGGAAGAUGCUCAGGCAGGGAUGCAUUUUGGAAAGUAGCCCAUCUGGUUCCCCUCUUGACUCACGGGAAGCAACAUCUGCUCCAUGGAGGUUCAACCAAAGCACUGCAUUUAGCAGCAUCGUUUGGUUUUGCAACGGCAUCUCAGCCUGGAGCUGAGCAGAACUGUUCCCGCUGACCGCCGGAAGCAGAAGGGAGCCGGCUGCUGACUUUCCUAAAUAUUGAUGCUUUAGAAAACGACUAUUUCGUGCUUCGUAAACAGCUGAGUGAGGGGCACGUCUCAUUCGCCACCCAAACGGUGCCGAUGGUGCUGCGGGAGGGCGGGACUCUCGGCGGAGGCCACAAACAGACCGACAGCGAAGCACAGCCGGCGGCGCAGCGAGGGAGCCGCGCUCGCGGGGACCCUGAAGAAACUCCUCUGCACUUCAGAAAGCAGGCGGUGCGCUGCCGGUUGGUUGGCUGAGAGCCGCCGGGCUGCGACAGGCGCGAGACGUUCCCGCGGCAGCGCGCUGUGCGCUGUGAGAAGAGCCGGAGCCGGGAAACCUGAAACGCCAUUCUCUUCCCGCCAGAGCAAAGCCCGCCGUCACCCCGAGCGGUCGCGGCUCCGGGCGGCGGCGGACGGCUGUGGGAGCAGAGCGGCGGGCUGCCCCUAGGUGGCGCUCGGCUGCAGUGGAGGGACGGAGCGGGAAGGGCGAGAGGUGCCGCGGCCCAGUGGAGCCUUUGUCCUGCGGUGCGGCUGCAGGACGCGCCGCCCGCUGUACCCCCUAGCCUGCUAGAAAAGGCUUCUUUCCCAUCGCAGCUGCACGUGCGGGUGUCUUUCUAAGUGCGAAACACCCGGCUUAGGCGGAGUGCUGGCUGCCCUCGGCGAAGUGCUGAGCGUCGUUCGUGGAGCAGUUGGGCCCUGAGGUGCCCCGCCCGCGGCCGCCCGCUCUGCUGCUGCUGCUGCUGCUGCAGCCCCGAGCGCGCACAGCCGCCCCCACAUGGGGCUUUCGUGCAGCUCUGGGGCCGCGCACUCCGGGAGGGAUCGCGGCUGUUCUGUGUGUCUGAUCGCAGACAGCCCGGCAGCACCCGCUGUUCGCCCCGCGGGAGCCGUCUGCAGGUGCAGGGCUGGGUUUCCCUGGCGCACGAGAGGGCUUUGCUCUGAAGCUGGAGGUUCAUUCGGCACCAAGGCGGGAGGAAUAACAAAUAAUGCAGUAAGAGUUAAUGAGUUACCUUCAUUUCUGCCGCACAGCCUGGCUAUUGAUUUCAGUGCGCUUUCAGCUCCCUCAGGAUUUGCCCGCUUCCCGCCUUUCCCUCGCCUCGCCCUGCAGUCCCGCGCAGUGCCGGCUGUGGGCAGCCCGCGGCCGGGCGCUGUGGGGAUGUACGGGCGGCCCACACGGCCACGGGAGCAGCGGCAGUGCCACGGCGGGGUCCUGCGCUGGUGCAGUGAUGUCACAGACACCAGAUGUCUGUUACUGCCCAAUUUAACAGCGCCUAAUGAGGUCGCUACCAUAAAAGCGGCACUUAUUUCCUGGGAGCCAUUUGCUAACGUAAUUAAGCCAGCUCUUACGCCUGGUUUUAGAAACCAGCUGAGGGCAGCGCGCGUAUGCGAAACGAAGCAAGGAGGAAAGGCCGGACCCACCCCCGACACGUGUCGUCCACCCAAGACAGGAUCUCUGGGUUGGCCUUAGCAGGAGCAGCUCGGCUCCAGCAGUCCUGUGUGGGGAUCUGGGCCCGCUGGGCUUCCCCGCUGCUGCUGGUUGGACUGGGGCCGUGUGGGAGCGGGGACACGUAAUGGCCGGUGUGGCACCCAUGGGGCUGCUCAGUGGGGCUGCCACCUCUGCCGCUCUUCACUUCUACGUUCUCCAGAGGGAUGCCACGUGCGUUGUAAUUUGUAAGCGUAAAAGAUGGGUUUUAAUGACUUGUCAGGUGUGAUGUCUUGGGGGCAGUGGAGCCUGUGAGAGUUUCUUCGCUUCUUGUUUCUUAGAACAUUGACUUAUGACAGGUGCCACUCUGAUAAGGAACCGCCAGCAGUGUGGCUGCGCCCCAGCGGCCAUCCCGCCCUGCAGCCCCCUCCCCAGCCUGGGGCUGGCACAACCACGAGCAUCUGCUGGGCACACAGCAACCCUUCCCCUUCCUGCUCCAGCGCAGCCUUAAUUAAAAAUAAACUGUCAGACACCAUAAAAAAAUAAAAGUUAAAUGUGCUCUCUGGGAAGCCUUUGUGAGGGCAUCAGGCAAAGCCUGCUGGCUGUGGCCAGGGGAGGUACAUGGGAGGGGAUUUGCCAAAAUGCAGUCCUGCUUCCCUGCCAGGCUGCUGGUACAUUAUUUAAACUCUUUGAAAAAACAGCUCAAUGCCAUGCAUUGAACCCCCCCAGCUCUGCCUGCGGCCUCAGGCUCUCCUUUGACAGCACUUCUUGCAUUCAUCUCCAUUUUGCUAUUGCUUCUCUCACUUGAAGGCAGACAUCCCCUUGCCCAGCGUUCAUACUCACCCAGUUCUCGAGUGUACUGCUGCUCAUGUGUGAUGAUUGCUGCUAAUUACAUCUUUCACAGAAGCCAGAUGCCGAGCCACCAGCCCUGGGCACUGCUCGGCACUUGCCCUGCUGCCUGCAGCUGCUGGCAGGGAUGCUCCCCUUGGCAAACCGAGGCUGAUGACCAUAAGCAGAGCUGGCUGGAAACCACAACACUUCUGGAGGAGUGAGCUGGGCUCUUGCAAAUGCAUCGAAGCUCUUGCUGGACACCACAGGAACAGGGAAUAUUCCUGAACGCUCUCCUUCCUACUGAUGUUCUGGUAUUUGAUAUUCAGAGAACAGGCAUGCAGCACCCUGCUGCUCUGGGAUCGAGGGGUGCAGGGGUAGAAUGUGGCUCCUAUGCUUGGGUUUGUUGUCCUGGUAUCCCCUGCCAGCACGCUGCUCCUCGCUGCUCCACUACGCAUAGCCUCUCACCGCAUUAAUUAUCGCGCACAGAAGGGUAAGACAUAAAUUACAGCCCAGUGCGUUUUAAUUGCACGUUCUUAAUACAUAGGCCUUGUUGCUAAUUAUCCCCGUUCUCCCAAGCAGCUUAAAAUUCUGAAGCCCUGAACUGUGGCUUCCGAGGAGCAAGGCUGCCAAGGCAGGAGCGUGAGUCCCUUCUUGCCACAAAGAGGGCUGAAAUAUGGCUGGAAACACGAAAAUAGCUGUUUCUUCUCCAGCUUCAACCUGCUCAGAGACUAAUGCCCUCCUAUGGGAUGUGUCAGUGGUUGUGGCAGAGAAAGAGACAGAAGCAUGUCUUCACUGUGAGGAAGUCUGUGGGACGGCCUGCCACCUAUGCUCGGAUUGCAUGAAUUAGGGAACAAAAUCAGAGAACCAUCUGUAAGAAUAACUGCGGGUGUUAAUUACACAUGGCAGCAGCUCUGCACGCUGCUGCCGAAACCUCAGGUGAACCUGGAACUGAGCAGAUAACACACGAUCGUUGCACGGCUUGCUGGAGACUGUCUCUUUUUUGCUCUUAACGUUGUUUUUAAAGAGGUAUUCCAGCAUUUACCCGAUGUACCACUGAGAUGCUUGGAUUUCCUGCAUGUGGGGUGCAAGGGUUUGAAAUAAAAGCAGUCGCUUCUUUUAUUACUAGU
ensembl:lncRNA